UGUAGCAAGGUUAACCGUAUAGGGGAGCCGGAGGGAAACCGAGUCUUAACCGGGCGUUAAGUUGCAGGGUAUAGACCCGAAACCCGGUGAUCUAGCCAUGGGCAGGUUGAAGGUUGGGUAACACUAACUGGAGGACCGAACCGACUAAUGUUGAAAAAUUAGCGGAUGACCUGUGGCUGGGGGUGAAAGGCCAAUCAAACCGGGAGAUAGCUGGUUCUCCCCGAAAGCUAUUUAGGUAGCGCCUCGUGAAUUCAUCUCCGGGGGUAGAGCACUGUUUCGGCUAGGGGGCCAUCCCGGCUUACCAACCCGAUGCAAACUGCGAAUACCGGAGAAUGUUAUCACGGGAGACACACGGCGGGUGCUAACGUCCGUCGUGAAGAGGGAAACAACCCAGACCGCCAGCUAAGGUCCCAAAGUCAUGGUUAAGUGGGAAACGAUGUGGGAAGGCCCAGACAGCCAGGAUGUUGGCUUAGAAGCAGCCAUCAUUUAAAGAAAGCGUAAUAGCUCACUGGUCGAGUCGGCCUGCGCGGAAGAUGUAACGGGGCUAAACCAUGCACCGAAGCUGCGGCAGCGACACUCAGGUGUUGUUGGGUAGGGGAGCGUUCUGUAAGCCUGUGAAGGUGUGUCGUGAGGCAUGCUGGAGGUAUCAGAAGUGCGAAUGCUGACAUAAGUAACGAUAAAGCGGGUGAAAAGCCCGCUCGCCGGAAGACCAAGGGUUCCUGUCCAACGUUAAUCGGGGCAGGGUGAGUCGACCCCUAAGGCGAGGCCGAAAGGCGUAGUCGAUGGGAAACGGGUUAAUAUUCCCGUACUUGGUGUUACUGCGAAGGGGGGACGGAGAAGGCUAUGUUGGCCGGGCGACGGUUGUCCCGGUUUAAGCGU
rnacentral:rRNA from 1 species